rnacentral:tRNA from 1 species
AGUAGUUCAAUUGGUAGAGCUUCGGUCUCCAAAACCGAGUGUUGAGGGUUCGAGUCCUUCCUG